GGAGUCGUGGCUCAGAGGUAGAGCACUCGCCUGGCAAGUGUGAGGCCCUGGAUUUGACCCUCGGCCCCA
rnacentral:tRNA from 1 species